ensembl:lncRNA
GGCAGAACCCAAUGGGGGGGGAAGAACCCAAUGGGGGGGACGGAACCCAAAGGAUGGGGGGCGGAACCCAAUGGGGGGGAUGGAAAUGGGGUGGGUGAGGAUGAGGAGCCGACGGGUCGGGAUGAAGACCUGUGGGGUAGGAAUGGGGGAGAAGGGGUCAGCAGUGGGGCCGGGAGGGACGUGUGGGGGUGGGGGCAGCACGACAGAUGGGGGCACAAUUAAUGGGGGCACAAUUAAUGGGAAAUCUACCAGUGGGGAAUCUAUCAAUCAAUGGGGCACAACUAAUGGGGGCACAAUUAAUGGGGAAUCAAUCAAUGGGGCCAACAAUCAAUGGGGCCAUAAUCACUCAUUGGGGAAUCAAUCAAUGGGGGACAACAAUCAAUGGGGACAACAAUCAAUCAAUGGGGAAUCGAUCAAUGGGGCCGCAAUCACUCAAUGGGGAAUCGAUCAAUGGGGACAACAAUCAAUCCGUGGGGCACAACAAUCAAUGGGGCACAACAAUCAAUGGGGAAUCAAUCAAUGGGGAAUCACUCAGUGGGGACAACAAUCAAUCAGUGGGGCCACAACCGAUCAAUGGGGCCAUAAUCACUCAUUGGGGAAUCAAUCAAUGGGGGACAACAAUCAAUGGGGACAACAAUCAAUGGGGACAACAAUCAAUCAAUGGGGAAUUGAUCAAUGGGGCCGCAAUCACUCAAUGGGGAAUCGAUCAAUGGGGACAACAAUCAAUCCGUGGGGCACAACAAUCAAUGGGGCACAACAAUCAAUGGGGAAUCAAUCAAUGGGGAAUCACUCAGUGGGGCCACAACCAAUCAAUGGGGCCACAACCAAUUAAUGGGGAAUCAAUCAAUGGGGAAUUGAUCAAUGGGGCCACAACCAAUCAAUGGGGAAUCACUCAAUGGGGACAACAAUCAAUCAAUGGGGAAUCGAUCAAUGGGGAAUCGAUCAAUGGGGCCGCAAUCACUCAAUGGGGAAUCAAUCAAUGGGGCCACAACCAAUCAAUGGGGAAUCAAUCAAUGGGGCCACAACCAAUCAAUGGGGAAUCAAUCAAUGGGGACAACAAUCAAUCAAUGGGGCACAACCAAUCAAUGGGGAACCGAUCAAUGGGGCCGCAAUCACUCAAUGGGGCACAACAAUGAAUGGGGAAUCACUCAGUGGGGACAACAAUCGAUCAGUGGGGAAUCGAUCAAUGGGGACAACAAUCAAUCAAUGGGGCCGCAAUCACUCAAUGGGGAAUCACUCAAUGGGGUCACAACCAAUCAGUGGGGCCACAACCAAUCAAUGGGGUCACAACCAAUCAGUGGGGCCGCAAUCAAUGGGGUGGAGGGACGCGACGCACGGGGUCACAAACCCAAAGGAGGGGGGACGCACCCGGGCCCCCAAAAACCCCACAGCGGGCGCAGGGAG